rnacentral:lncRNA from 1 species
GGCGCCGGAGUCCUACAGUAACCAGGCGCUAGUGUACUGUAUGAUAUAAUUAUUACUGAGAUAAGCCAGUGACUGAGGUAUUGGACAACAGAGGCUGUAAACAGUGAGACAGCAGGGGGCAGUGUACUUCUGUAGGAGACAGUGCAGGCUGUAAACAGUGAGACAGCAGGGGACAGUGUACUGCUGUAGGGGACAGUGCAGGCUGUAAACAGUGAGACAGCAGGGGGCAGUGUACUGCAGUAGGGGACAGUGCAGGCUGUAAACAGUGAGACAGCAGGGGGCAGUGUACUGCAGUAGGGGACAGUGAUCUAGUGCUGGUGUGUCCACAGGGUCUCUCUGUAGUGCUGGUGGAUCACGGGCUCUGCACAACAGCGCAGCCCUGUGGCAGGGUACAGUGAACCAGCCCAGUCAGCCUGCAGGGGACAGACCCAGUCAGACAGCGCGGGGGCCGAGGGGGGGGCGGGUCGCCAGGGGAAACGUGUGAACUGGCACAGCCAGCCAUUGGAGGGGGGGGGGCAUUCCCCCACCUGAUUGGCUGAGCCCGUCACAGGCCCCGCCCUUCCCCACACGACGGACAGGGAUGCUACCCUAUAAGGGCCCAGACAGAGGUACAGAGUACUGCCCCGAGGGAGGGUCGCCGUCCCACCCAGGGAGCCCACACAGCGAUCAGCGACCCCUGGCCCCUCAGAGCCGCUGCAGGAGCGGAGGUCAGCACACACACAGCAGGAAGGGGCGUGGUCACAUGAAGAGGGGGAGUGGUCCCAUCGUGAGGGCGGGGCCGAGGAGAAAGGGGUGUGGUCACAUGUAGAGGGGGGGUGGCCACACCGCGAGGACAGGGCCAAGGGGAAAGGGGUGGGGCAUGUCCAGGAGAGGUGUGGCCACAACAUGAGGGCGGAGCCAGGGGAGAAAGGGGGUGUGGUCAGUCCAGAAGGGGUGUGGCCACACGUAGAGGGGGAGAGGUCACACUAUGAGGGCGGGGCCAGGGGGAAAGGGGUGUGGUCACACAGUGAGGGCGGGGCCAGGGGAGAAAGGGGUGGGCCCCCCACCCUGCUGUGAACGAGCUGCGGUCCAGGAGCUCCACGCCUCAGGUCUACAGGUCCCACGGCCCCCGCACAGGUGGUCCGGUCUCGUCAGAGGGCACCCAAACGGGCCACACGGUCCGGCCGGGUCAGGAGGGCGGCCCACGAGCUUCCGAGGGUCCGAUCGGCGAACCGCCCUCCCCCCUCUGCCCCUGGGGCGACACCGGCCGGCGGGAGAGAGAGACGGAGGGGCAGGGAGGUAGAGGAGGGGGGGCAGCGGGUGCUAUUUCUUGGCUUUGGCCUUCGCUGAAUUCCGUGGCGGAGUGACGGGGCGACCCGAACCCACCCCACCCCCUCCUCCAUAGGAGAAGAGCUUCUUAUCCGCAGGCUUGAGUAUCUGGGAGAGAGAGAGAGAGAGAGAGAGAGAGAGAGAGAGAGAGAGAGAGAGGGGUUAAUACAGACACACUGACUGGACACU